UAUGCUUUUCUUCCCCAUGGAGAGAAACACUUUACUGUGGGGCUUGUGGCCAUCUACUGGGCCAUUUGGAACCGCAGGAAUCAAGCUACAUUUGAAUUCAAGAAACUGUCAUCUCCUUUUGAGAUUGUUUUCAAUGCUUGUGCACAUCUUUCCUACUGGGCAGGUUUGUUGAAAGGCGAAGAACGAACGGAGCUGGAGCAGGGCGCGGCACUUCUGAAGAUGAACGCUAAGAAGAUGAUGAGCCUUUGUGCGUCUGCAUAUACGGGGACCACCCAGGGGUGA
rnacentral:rRNA from 1 species